rnacentral:lncRNA from 1 species
CCAGGGCUGCUUACCGGGCAGUGUGGAUGGCAUGCAGUGGGAUGGUGAAGGAUGGGGCCAGAGGAAGGAAGGACAUGCCCGCCCAGCUGUGUUUGGGAUGCUGCCUCCCUGGAGAGGGGUCAUGAAGCCUAGCAGGCAGUGGAGCCCAGGGCUUGCUAUCGAGGAAGUCAUCGAGGGCUUGCGAUCAAGGCCUGGGGUCCCACCUGUCCUCACAGCUUGCUGCUGGGACACCUGCUCCUCCGUGCCCCAGGUCUAGAGUCUCUGCUGGUGUUGGGCGCCUGGCAGCGUUUCACUGGGGAGGCCUCCUUGGCUCCAGCUCAUUCCUCUUUCUCUGUGUCUGGUGCCUGCCCAGGGCCUUUCCCAUUAAAUGGUACUGGGUGCUCUCUGGUCAUCGGCUCCACAGUCUGGAUGGAUGUUUUGCCUCCCAUCUGAAGCUUAGACAAGGCACGAGGGUCAAGGAUCCCCACUCAGGACCCAUCAACAUCUGUAUUCCCCCACCUGGGGAAGGGUGCUGGUUUUCUUCAUUAUGCACCCCCCAUCUUUA